rnacentral:misc_RNA from 1 species
AACUUUCGGCAAUGGAUCACUUGGUUCUGGCAUCGAUGAAGAACGCAGCGAAAUGCGAUAAGUAAUGUGAAUUGCAGAAUUAGUGAAUCAUCGAAUCUUUGAACGCACAUUGCGCCCGCUAGUAUUCUAGCGGGCAUGCCUGUUCGAGCGUCAUUUCAACCCUCAGGCCCCCUAGGCCUGGCGUUGGGGAUCUGCCGGGCCCGUCCCGGCAGGCCCCGAAAUAUAGUGGCGGUCCCGCUGUAGCCUCCUCUGCGUAGUAACUCACCUCGCUCUGGGACUCGGCGCGGCCAUGCCGUUAAACACCCCACUUUCUCAAGGUUGACCUCGGAUCAGGUAGGAAUACCCGCUGAACUUAAGCAUAUCAAUAAGCGGAGGCU